rnacentral:rRNA from 1 species
ACGUAGGGUGCAGGCGUUAAUCGGAAUUACUGGGCGUAAAGCGUGCGCAGGCGGUCUAUUAAGACAGGUGUGAAAUCCCCGGGCUUAACCUGGGAACUGCGCUUGUAACUGAUAGGCUGGAGUGUGGCAGAGGGGGGUGGAAUUCCACGUGUAGCAGUGAAAUGCGUAGAUAUCAGGAGGAAUACCGAUGGCGAAGGCAGGUCUCUGGGCUGACACUGACGCUCAUGCACGAAAGCGUGGGGAGCAAACAGGA